rnacentral:rRNA from 1 species
GAUUUCUGACUUAGCGCACCUGGCCCGCCACGUUUACGUGUGUGAGUGCCGGGAUGCGCUUGUCACUUUUCUGGUAAACCAUUGUGCUCUUCACUGAGUGUGAUGGGUAGCCAGAUAUUUUACUUUGAAAAAAUUAGAGUGUUUAAAGCAGGCGUUUGCUAUGAAUACAUUAGCAUGGAAUAAUAAGUUAGGACUUCGGUUCUAUUUUGUUGGUGUUCUGGAGCUGAAGUAAUGAUUGAUAGGGAUAGUUGGGGGUGCUAGUAUUCAAUGGCCAGAGGUGAAAUUCUCGGAUUCCUUGAAGACUAACUUAUGCGAAAGCAUU